rnacentral:rRNA from 1 species
UACGUAGGGGGCAAGCGUUGUCCGGAAUUAUUGGGCGUAAAGAGCGCGUAGGCGGCUUCGUAAGUCUGAUGUGAAAUCCCUGGGCUCAACUCAGGAAGCGCAUUGGAUACUGCGAAGCUGGAGUACUGGAGAGGAGAGUGGAAUUCCUGGUGUAGAGGUGAAAUUCGUAGAUAUCAGGAGGAACAACAGAGGCGAAGGCGGCUCUCUGGACAGUAACUGACGCUGAGGCGCGAAAAGCGUGGGGAGCAAACAGG